rnacentral:rRNA from 1 species
UACAGAGGUCCCAAGCGUUGUUCGGAUUCACUGGGCGUAAAGGGUGCGUAGGUGGUCGGGUAAGUCUGAUGUGAAAUCUCCGGGCCUAACCCGGAAACUGCAUCGGAUACUAUUCGGCUAGAGGGUUGGAGGGGGGGACUGGAAUACUUGGUGUAGCAGUGAAAUGCGUAGAUAUCAAGUGGAACACCAGUGGCGAAGGCGAGUCCCUGGACAACUCCUGACACUGAGGCACGAAAGCUAGGGGAGCAAACAGG